rnacentral:lncRNA from 10 species
GUGCUGCUAUGAACAUUUGUAUGCAAGUGUGUAUUUGAAUAUUUAUUUUUAUUUCUUUGGGGUAUAUACCUAGGAGUAGAAUUGUUGUGUCAUUUGGUAAUUCUGUGUUUAUCUAAGAAACUGCCAAACUGUUUUCCACAGGCUGCAUGAUUUCACAUUCUCAUAAGUAAUGUACAAAGGUUCCAAUUUGUCCACAUCCUUGCCAACACUUAUUUUCCUUUUUAUAGUAGCCAUCCUGGUGGGUGUGAAGUGGUAUCUCAUUGUGGUUUUGAUGUACUUCUCUAAUGACUGAUGUUGAGCAUCUUCUCAUGUAUUUGUUGGCCAAUCAUAUAACUUCUUUGGAGAAAUGCCUAUUCAAGUCCUUUGCCCCUCUUUGAUUCAGUUGUUUGUCUUUUUGUUGUUGAGUUAGAAGAGUUCUUUAUAAAUUCUAGGUACUAGACCUUUGUCAGAUAUGAUUUGCAAAUAUAUUUUCUUCCAUUCAGUAGGGGUAAAUAGAAUAUUGAGAGACUUUUUAUAUAGUAAUAUAAAAAAGCAUGAAGGGAUGUGUUUUGCAAAAAGUAAGAUUACACAGUAUUAUACAACUAUGUUAUACACUUUGGCUCUUGGUUUUCUCUCUAAGGAAUAACUCAUGAAGAACAUUCCAUGUGUUAAGGUAUACCUCUAAUUCUUUCUAAUGCCUACAUAAUAUCCUAUUGCAUGGGUGUGCUAUUCACCCCCUACUUAUGGUUAUUCAUUCUGUUUCUAGUUUUUGGCCACUGCCAACAAUGCUGCAGUUAACAUCCUUGUACAAUAUAUGUUUAUGUAUUUUAAAUUUCAGUUUAAAAGGAUUUAUUCUGAGGAGUAGUAUUUCUGGUUUAAAGAGUAUAUGUGUUUUUAAUUUUAAUAGAUAUUGCUCAAUUGUUUUACAUUAAUAACUUACAUUUUUACUAGCAAUAUAUGAAAACAUUCUUUCUGCACUGCAUCCUUGAUUACAGUUAUAAUCAAACUUUACAAUUUUUGCUUAUCUAAUAGGUAUAAAUCAGUGGUUCUCAAUCGGUAAUGAUUUUGUCCCACAGGGG